rnacentral:rRNA from 1 species
GAUGAACGCUGGCGGCGUGCCUAAUACAUGCAAGUCGAGCGAACGGACGAGAAGCUUGCUUCUCUGAUGUUAGCGGCGGACGGGUGAGUAACACGUGGAGAACCUACCUAUAAGACUGGGAUAACUUCGGGAAACCGGAGCUAAUACCGGAUGAUAUUUUGAACCGCAUGGUUCAACAGUGAAAGACGGUCUUGCUGUCACUUAUAGAUGGAUCCGCGCUGCAUUAGCUAGUUGGUAAGGUAACGGCUUACCAAGGCAACGAUGCAUAGCCGACCUGAGAGGGUGAUCGGCCACACUGGAACUGAGACACGGUCCAGACUCCUACGGGAGGCAGCAGUAGGGAAUCUUCCGCAAUGGGCGAAAGCCUGACGGAGCAACGCCGCGUGAGUGAUGAAGGUCUUCGGAUCGUAAAACUCUGUUAUUAGGGAAGAACAAAUGUGUAAGUAACUGUGCACAUCUUGACGGUACCUAAUCAGAAAGCCACGGCUAACUACGUG